rnacentral:rRNA from 1 species
CCUACGGGAGGCAGCAGUGGGGAAUAUUGGACAAUGGGCGAAAGCCUGAUCCAGCAAUGCCGCGUGAGUGAUGAAGGCCUUAGGGUUGUAAAGCUCUUUUACCAGGGAUGAUAAUGACAGUACCUGGAGAAUAAGCUCCGGCUAACUCCGUGCCAGCAGCCGCGGUAAUACGGAGGGAGCUAGCGUUGUUCGGAAUUACUGGGCGUAAAGAGUACGUAGGCGGUUAUUCAAGUCAGAGGUGAAAGCCCGGGGCUCAACCCCGGAACUGCCUUUGAAACUAGAUAGCUAGAGUCUUGGAGAGGUUAGUGGAAUUCCGAGUGUAGAGGUGAAAUUCGUAGAUAUUCGGAAGAACACCAGUGGCGAAGGCGACUAACUGGACAAGUACUGACGCUGAGGUACGAAAGCGUGGGGAGCAAACAGGAUUAGAUACCCUGGUAGUCCACGCCGUAAACGAUGAUAACUAGUUGUUCGGGGUCACUUGGUGCCUGAGUGACGCAGCUACGCAUUAAGUUAUCCGUCCGUCGGGUAGGUACGGUCGCGAGAUAAACUACGAAGAAGUAGAGGCGUGUAGAGUUGCGAGACGACGACGAGGGAGGAGG